rnacentral:misc_RNA from 1 species
CAAAUCGAUGUGUUGGUUGUAGGGAAAAGUUGGGUCACACCAACAAUUCUCUGCAUACCAUAUCAUAUUUACGCUUGUUUUGUUUGACAGAGUAAUUUAUCCACAAAAAUAGA